rnacentral:tRNA from 1 species
GGCGCCAUGGCUUAGUGGUAAGGCGCCUGUCUUGUAAACAGGAGAUCCUGGGUUCGAUCCCCAGUGGUGCCU